rnacentral:rRNA from 1 species
GUGCAGCCGCCGCGGUCAUACCGGCAGCCCGAGUGAUGGCCGAUAUUAUUGGGCCUAAAGCGUCCGUAGCUGGCCGAACAAGUCCGUCGAGAAAUCCACGUGCUUGACACGUGGGCGACCGGCGGACACUGUUCGGCUUGGGGCCGGAGGACCCGAGGGGUACGUCCGGGGUAGGAGUGAAAUCCUGUAAUCCUGGACGGACCGCCGGUGGCGAAAGCGCCUCGGGAAGACGGACCCGACAGUGAGGGACGAAAGCCAGGGUCUCCAACCGGAUUAGAUACCCGGGUAGUCC